CUUUAAACUGAUAGGGAAGUUUAUUUUGUUUUGAUACUUAUUUUAUACAGCGCAACAUGAAAAUAACAGGACACUCCUUACUUUAUGCCUGAGCUUUUAAAACAGGUUUAAAUGGAUAUAUUAACACAGUCAGGUUAAAAUGAAUAAUCAAACUACGGAACGUAUUAAGGAAUCUUUGGUUUCCUCCAAUCCCCAUGGUACCUCUGGAAGCGACUUUUUAAGUGUUCGAUGUCCUAAUUCUAAAGACGAGUCAGAUCUUCUUAGUGAAGUAAAUAUUAAAGACGACAGCGAAUCUCUUGCGGAAGCCUCGUUUGCAGGGGACGCUGAUGAAAAUAUAAAGGAUCCAUGAGCAGUUUGUUUUACUAAUCGUAAUUUUCCAAAGAAGGCUACUCACUUUUGUAAUGAUUGUGGACUUUUGGGACAUUUUCUGUGUGAACAAUGUUUGGGCUUUCACAAGAAGUUUACCAACCACAAGUCUGUUAAAUCAUUCGCCUCAGCAAAAUACAAGAGAGGUACACCAUCCAGUAAAAGGAACCCAAAAGAAAAGGACACACAGGAGCUACAAAAUGAGAUAGACAAAUUGAAGGAAAGGAUAGUUAUAUAUCGUAAUGAAUUAGACCCUGUCAAGAUAAGAGCAGAAUUAGACUUAACAGACGAAUCAAUGAUCAACGUUUUAAGGGAGGAAAAUUUAAGACUGAUAGCAGAAGUAAAAUCAUACCAAUCAAAGGAUUCUACAGGGAG